rnacentral:rRNA from 2 species
UAAGGAAUAUUGGUCAAUGGGCGCAAGCCUGAACCAGCCAUGCCGCGUGAAGGAUGACGGCCCUAUGGGUUGUAAACUUCUUUUGUACGGGAAAAAACCACCGGUCGUGUAUCGGUGCUGAUGGUACCGUAAGAAUAAGCAUCGGCUAACUCCGUGCCAGCAGCCGCGGUAAUACGGAGGAUGCAAGCGUUAUCCGGAUUCAUUGGGUUUAAAGGGUGCGCAGGCGGAAUAAUAAGUCAGCGGUGAAAGCCUACAGCUUAACUGUAGAACUGCCAUUGAUACUGUUAUUCUUGAGUGUUGUUGAGGUAGGCGGAAUGUGUCAUGUAGCGGUGAAAUGCUUAGAUAUGACACAGAACACCGAUCGCGAAGGCAGCUUACCAAGCAACAACUGACGCUCAUGCACGAAAGCGUGGGGAUCAAACAGG